UUCUUUAGGCCCAUUUCUUUCUCCUUUUCUUUUGGCCCAUUUAAUGUUGAAACUGUGUCGUUUCUUUCCCUCGGUCCAAUCUGCCUCUUAUGUUCUUUUCUUUUCCUUUUAUUUUUGAAGCAGCUUGACCGUGUCCUGCUUGCUUCUUUUUUUCUUUUCUUUUUUAUUCUGCUUUUCGUAAAACGACGCCGUUUCACACCUUCAGCCUCACUUUGUCCUCCUCCUUCACCUGCUGCUGUCGCCAACUGCCGCCCGCCACCGUCGAUUUGGUCGGCGACCAACGCCACUCUGGCCGAUGUUGGGCCCCGCACGGUGGUCGGCGGCCUACAAUUUCUGACUACAGCCCCAGCAGCUUCACGCCCCCCCACUAUACCAACUUUACUUCCACCUCAAUUCUCCACCAAUUGCACUUCACCCAUUUUCGUCCACAUCCAAAACCUCAAUUUUCUCCCAUUUUCAUCCGCAUCCAAAAUUGUGAUUCGUUAUUUCUUGUGCAUCCGCCCCUUUGUCCGAUACUCUCUUUUGUGAAGGUAAUAUGCUCCUUUUGUUCUUUUCAUUUUCCCGUUUGAAUUUUUUCCCUGAUUGUGUUUCAAUUAGCAACUGAAUUAAUCCCUCAGCUCAAAUCUCGAUUCCGCCUUGUCGAAUAUCUCACUGCUCUCCAAAUUCCACUCAAAACCCUACUCAAAUCUCUUCUCUUCUUUCAGAUUAUCGAGUCUCAACAGCCGGAGAAGAAACAAGAAUCAUCUUUCUCCGAACCUCGUUUUCUGUAAUAAGAACAUCUGCCCACAAGCCGAUAUUCAAUAUUUACAGCUGAAAACAAAGAUUUGAUUAAAAGGGUCGGCCGAGGAUUGCUCGGUUUCGCCGCCGCCGUGUCGUUGCUCUGUGAUUCGCCGGCGUUUGCUGAAUCACUGACUGUAGCUUUUCCUGUUUCUCACAAGUCACAACCGUGAGGUGAAUACUGUACAAAGAACACUUGUGAAGGCAUGGGGUUUGAUUAGAGAAACCUUUGUGGAUCCAACUUUCAAUCAUCAGGAUUAGGACUUAAAAUUACAACAAACGAUGGUCGAAAUGUUUCCACUUACAUCAGAAGAUGCUGCGUAUAAUAAAAUUAAAGGGACGCUUUCGACUGUUACAGAUCCUUUUACGCGCAUAAUCAGUCGUAAGGUAUUUUUUUUCUUGUCUUAAUUAAUUAAUUAAUUCAAAUUUUACUUAUGAUCCAUUUUUCGUACAUUAAUGGGCUGUGUGUGU